rnacentral:rRNA from 1 species
GAUGAACGCUGGCGGCGUGCCUAAUACAUGCAAGUCGAGCGAACAGACGAGGAGCUUGCUCCUCUGACGUUAGCGGCGGACGGGUGAGUAACACGUGGAUAACCUACCUAUAAGACUGGGAUAACUUCGGGAAACCGGAGCUAAUACCGGAUAAUAUAUUGAACCGCAUGGUUCAAUAGUGAAAGACGGUUUUGCUGUCACUUAUAGAUGGAUCCGCGCCGCAUUAGCUAGUUGGUAAGGUAACGGCUUACCAAGGCAACGAUGCGUAGCCGACCUGAGAGGGUGAUCGGCCACACUGGAGCUGAGACACGGUCCAGACUCCUACGGGAGGCAGCAGUAGGGAAUCUUCCGCAAUGGGCGAAAGCCUGACGGAGCAACGCCGCGUGAGUGAUGAAGGUCUUCGGAUCGUAAAACUCUGUUAUUAGGGAAGAACAAAUGUGUAAGUAACUAUGCACGUCUUGACGGUACCUAAUCAGAAAGCAACGGCUAACUACGUG